rnacentral:rRNA from 1 species
ACGGGUGAGUAACACGUGGGUAACCUGCCUCAUAAAGGGGAAUAGCCUUUCGAAAGGAAGAUUAAUGCCGCAUAAGAUUGUAGUACCGCAUGGUACAGCAAUUAAAGGAGCAAUCCGUUAUGAGAUGGACCCGCGUCGCAUUAGCUAGUUGGUGAGGUAACGGCUCACCAAGGCGACGAUGCGUAGCCGACCUGAGAGGGUGAUCGGCCACAUUGGGACUGAGACACGGCCCAGACUCCUACGGGAGGCAGCAGUGGGGAAUAUUGCACAAUGGGGGAAACCCUGAUGCAGCAACGCCGCGUGAGUGAUGAAGGUCUUCGGAUUGUAAAACUCUGUCUUCAGGGACGAUAAUGACGGUACCUGAGGAGGAAGCCACGGCUAACUACGUGCCAGCAGCCGCGGUAAUACGUAGGUGGCAAGCGUUGUCCGGAUUUACUGGGCGUAAAGGGAGCGUAGGUGGAUAUUUAAGUGGGAUGUGAAAUACUCGGGCUUAACCUGGGUGCUGCAUUCCAAACUGAAUAUCUAGAGUGCAGGAGAGGAAAGUAGAAUUCCUAGUGUAGCGGUGAAAUGCGUAGA